UGCGCAGGCGGCUUGUCAAGUCAUGUGUGAAAUACCCAGGCUUAACUUGGGGGGUGCAUAUGAAACUGGCGAGCUUGAGUGCAGGAGAGGGGAGCGGAAUUCCUAGUGUAGCGGUGAAAUGCGUAGAUAUUAGGAGGAACACCAGUGGCGAAGGCGGCUCUCUGGACUGCAACUGACGCUGAGGCACGAAAGCGUGGGGAGCAAACAGGAUUAGAUACCCUGGUAGUCCACGCGGUAAACGAUGGAUACUAGGUGUAGGGGGUGUAUGCCCUCUGUGCCGGAGCAAACGCAAUAAGUAUCCCGCCUGGGGAGUACGGCCGCAAGGUUGAA
rnacentral:rRNA from 1 species